AAAUGGAGCUGGGGCAGACAAAUAAACAUAAAAUACACAGGAAUGGAGCUGAGGGAGACAAAAAAAAAAUAAAAUGCAUAGGAAAUGGAGUGGGAUGGACAAAUAAACAUAAAAUACCUAGGAAUGGAGCAGGGGCAGACAAAUAAACAUAAAAUACAUAGGAAUGGAGCUGGGGCAGACAAAUAAACGUAAAAUACACAGGAGUGGAGUUGCGGCAGACAAAUAAACAUAAAAUACACAGGAAUGGAGAUGGGGCAGACAAAUAAACAUAAAAUACAUAGGAAAUGGAGCUGUGGCAGACAAAUAAACAUAAAAUACGUAGGAAAUGGAGCUGGGGCAGACAAAUAAACAUAAAAUACAUAGGAAAUGGAGCUCGGGCAGAUACGUAAACAUAAAAUGCAUAGGAAAUGUAACUGGGGCAGACAAAUAAACAUAAAAUACAUAGGAAAUGGAGCUGGGGCAGACAAAUAAACAUUUAAUGCAUAGGAAAUGAAAAUACAUAGGAAAUUGAGCUGGGGCAGACAAAUAAACAUAAAAUACACAGGAAUGGAGCUGGGGCAGACAAAUAAACAUAAAAUACGUAGGAAAUGGAGCUGUGGCAGACAAAUAAACAUAAAAUACGUAGGAAAUGGAGCUGUGGCAGACAAAUAAACAUAAAAUAUAUAGGAAAUGGAGAUGGGGCAGACAAAUAAACAUAAAAUACACAGGAAUGUAGCUGAGGGAGACAAAAAAAAAUAAAAUACAUAGGAAAUGGAGCUGGGAUGGACAAAUAAACAUAAAAUACAUAGGAAAUGGAGCAGGGGCAGACAAAUAAACAUAAAAUACAUAAGAAUGGAGCUGGGGCAGACAAAUAAAUGUAAAAUACUCAGGAAUGGAGCUGGGGCAGACAAAUGAACAUAAAAUACACAGGAAUGGAGCUGAGGGAGACAAAAAAAAUAAAAUAGAUAGGAAAUGGAGUGGGAUGACAAAUAAACAUAAAAUACACAGGAAUGAGCUGGGGCAGACAAACAUAAAAUACGUAGGAAAUGGAGCUGUGGCAGACAAAUAAACAUAAAAUACAUAGGAAUGGAGAUGGGGCAGACAAAUAAACAUAAAAUACAUAGGAAAUGGAGCUGGGGCAGAUGGAGUUGCGGCAGACAAAUACACAUAAAAUACACAGGAAUGGAGCUGGGGCAGACAAAUAAACAUAAAAUACAGAGGAAUGGAGCUGGGCAGACAAA